CCUACGGGGGGCUGCAGUGGGGAAUAUUGGACAAUGGGCGAAAGCCUGAUCCAGCCAUGCCGCGUGUGUGAAGAAGGCCUUCGGGUUGUAAAGCACUUUCAGUGGGGAAGAAAGCCUUGGGGCUAAUACCCUCGAGGAAGGACAUCACCCACAGAAGAAGCACCGGCUAACUCCGUGCCAGCAGCCGCGGUAAUACGGAGGGUGCGAGCGUUAAUCGGAAUUACUGGGCGUAAAGCGCGCGUAGGCGGUCUGAUAAGCCGGUUGUGAAAGCCCCGGGCUCAACCUGGGAACGGCAUCCGGAACUGUCAGGCUAGAGUGCAGGAGAGGAAGGUAGAAUUCCCGGUGUAGCGGUGACAUGCGUAGAGAUCGGGAGGAAUACCAGUGGCGAAGGCGGCCUUCUGGACUGACACUGACGCUGAGGUGCGAAAGCGUGGGUAGCAAACAGGAUUAGAUACCCCUGUAGUC
rnacentral:rRNA from 1 species